UAUCUCUGUAGAGUCUGCAUAUCAAUAAGCGGAGGAAAAGAAACUAACAAGGAUUCCCUUAGUAACGGCGAGUGAAGCGGGAAGAGCUCAAAUUUGAAAUCUUCAAGGUUUUACCUUGACGAAUUGUAGUUUAAAGAAGUGUAUUCUGUUGGUGUUUUGGUAAAAGUUCUUUGGAAUAGGACAUCAUAGAGGGUGAGAAUCCCGUAUUUGACCAUUACUUCCAGCGUUGUGAUACACUUUCAAAGAGUCGGAUUGUUUGGGAAUGCAGUCCAAAAUGGGUGGUAAAUUUCAUCUAAAGCUAAAUAUUGGCGAGAGACCGAUAGCGAACAAGUACCGUGAGGGAAAGAUGAAAAGAACUUUGAAAAGAGAGUUAAACAGUACGUGAAAUUGUCAAAAGGGAAGCGUUUGACACCAGUGUUGUUUUCUCGAAAAUCAAUUAAAAAUGCUGGGAUUUUGUGUUGUAUUGACUUUAUCAGCUUUCUGCACUCUUUUCCUGUCUUUUUUAAUGCACUUUUCGUUUAACAAGUCAACAUCAGUUUCUUUUGUUGUAAAAAGGUCAUUGGAAGGUGGCUUUCUUUUCGGAGAAAGUGUUUAUAGCCUUUGACUCCUGCAAUCGGAGAGACUGAGGUCUGCAGCGUAGAUCCUUCUUGGAUUAGAUUCAAUUGUGCUAAGUUAUAGCCUUUCAUAGACAACUUGUUGACUAUGAUCAGUCAUGUAGCUUACUCGCUUAUGCUAUUUUACCUACGCUUAGGAUGUUGAGUCAUCACACAUCUCU
rnacentral:rRNA from 1 species